GAUGAAGAACGCAGCGAAUUGCGAUAAGUAAUGUGAAUUGCAGAUUUUCAGUGAAUCAUCGAAUCUUUGAACGCACCUUGCGCCCUUUGGCUAUUCCGAAGGGCAUGCCUGUUUGAGUAUCGUGAACACCUCAACUCUCAUGGUUUGCCAUGAUGAGCUUGGACUUUGGGGGUUUUGCUGGCCUUUGGUCGGCUCCUCUCAAACGGAUCAGCUUUCCAGUGUUUGGUGGCGUCACGGGUGUGAUAACUAUCUACGCCUGUGGUUUUCUGCCAGAUAACCUUCAGCGAUGGAGGUUCGCUGGGGCUCAUAAAUGUCUCUCUUCAGUGGAGACAGCUUUUUGGACGUUUGAUCUCAAAUCAGGUAGGACUACCCGCUGAACUUAAGCAUAUCAAUAAGCGGAGGA
rnacentral:misc_RNA from 1 species